rnacentral:misc_RNA from 1 species
CGCAGAUUCUGACUGGACAGGACGAGCACAUGGUGGAGGUGGCAGAGGAUUAUCUUCUGCAACAGAAGUUAAGGAAGAAGGAGACGAAGAAGAGAGAAUAAUGAAGGACUUAGAUGGGUAUCUAAGAAGAGCUGCUGACCCAUGUAAGCAUGAGUUGCUGUUAGCAUAAAGGCGAUGAGAGAAAAGGGUUUGAUGAGGUGUUGGUAUUGACAGUAGGGUGAUUGCCAUUCUACCUC